rnacentral:sRNA from 1 species
CAGGCCCUGGGCCGCCAGCUGGUGAUGCUGCCCUGCUCACCUCAGAUAGAGGCUCAAUGCCUGAGCAACUAUCUGAAUGGCGCCCUGCAGGGUGGUGCCUGGCUGCUGUUGGAGAAAGUUCAGCAGCUGCCCCCUGGCUUGCUCUCUGCCCUGGGCCAGCGCCUGGGUGAACUGCACCAGUUGUAUGCCCCACUGUACCAGAAGGCUUCCCGAAACACUAGCACCAUAGACCCCACCCAGCCCCAGCUCCUUGGCAGUGGCUUCUUUGAAAAACAUCACGUGUCUAUGCGCCUUGGCUAUGGCUGUCUCCUGGUACUGCGUGCCCUGAGCUCUGCUGUGCCUGCCAACCUGCACCUGCUGCUGCGGCCUGUGGCAUUGGCAUUACCUGAUCUGCGGCAAGUGGCAGAGCUGACUCUGCUGGGUGCAGGGAUGCGGGAUGCCUUCCAGAUGGCUACCCGCCUAUCCAAGUUCUUCUCUCUAGAGCGUGAGCUGGUGUCUGGGCCCCUGCCCUGCCGCUUGCCACUGCUGAAGCAGAUACUGGAAGACACAAUACGGACACUAAAUGUGACCAAGGAGGAACCGAAGUGCCAGAAGCCUCGCAGCCUAGCUGCCAUUGAGGAGGCUGCCCUACUGCAUGCCCUACUGCGCUCACCACUGUUUAGCAUUCUCAAUGGGCUCCACCUGCACAGCCUCCGAGGGCUGUUGUGUGCACUUUUCCCUAGCGCCAGCCAAGUGCUGGCAGAACCUAUGACUUACAAGCUGAUGAAGCCACUGGUGGUGGAGGAACUGCAACAGGUAGGUCUGCAUCCCAGCCCUGACAUUUUGGGGUCCUUGGAACAGUUGAGCCAGGCCCUGAGCCGGGCCUCAGGCAUUCUGCUCCUGGGCCCUGCAGGCAGCGGCAAGACCACUUGUUGGCACAGCUUAUUUAAGAUCCAGAAUCGGCUGGCAGCCAUGGAGGACACCUCAACCCAAGGCUGCCAGCCUGUGGAAAUUACCCACCUGUACCCCAGUGGCCUCAGCCCCCAGGAGUUCCUGGGAUGGCUAGAGGGCUCCUGCUGGCAUCAUGGCAUCUUUCCCAAGGUACUUCGUGCAGCCGGUCAGUGUAACAACAUGGGCCAAAAGAGGCAGACAGAGGAAUCAGUCGGGAUCCAGCACUGGAUAAUAUGUGAUGGAGCUUCCAGUGCUGCUUGGCUGGACUCCAUCACUUGCCUCCUGAGUGAGCUUCCCCAGCUUAGUCUCCCCAGUGGACAGCAGAUAGCACGACCCCCAGGCACCUUUCUCUUGAUGGAGGUGGCUGACACAACAGGCAUGUCCCCCACAGUGGUAGGCUGUUGUGCCUUAGUCUGGUGUGGUGGAGAGCAGACUUGGCAGUGUAUACUUAGUGCCCUGAUGGCAUCCCUUCCUUAUGAGUACCGCCUGCAGCACCAGACAGUCGCUGAGCUCAACCACAUGGCUGAGGUUCUGGUGCCUGCAACAUUGCGAUUCCUCACCCGCCAAGGUGUCAGCUCUCUGCUGCAGGUACACGGGCAGCAGGCUGUUUGUGCAGGUGUGGCAGAAGUUACCAGCAUGGCACGCAUCUUACAUAGUCUGCUUGACCCCCACCUUCGCCUAAAGGAGGAGAAGGCCCCUGGCCCAGAGGACCUCAGCUAUAGUGAUCCUGUGGCCCAAAGCUUCAGGUCUUCAAAAAGCAGCUUUCUAAACCGGUCCCAGGUUGACAGUGACGAUGUGCCAAAUAAGUGCAGGGAACACUUGCUGGCUGUCAGCAGUUUUCUUUUUGCCUUGAUCUGGGGCUUUGGAGCCCACCUUCCCUCCAGGUACCUACCAGGAUGGGGGAUGGGAGAUGCAGAGGGCUGAGAUGGACUGGCCCAUGGAAGUAAAAACCCCCAUGACAUCACUCUUAGGGUAUGGUGGAGUGUGUGAGUGUGUCAUAAAUGGAAGUGUUGUAACUGUCUGACGCUUUUGCCUGUGUGUCCAUCUGAGCAGGUUCUGGCCCAUCUUUGAUACCUUCAUAAGGGAUUCUAUUAGUCGCCUCUCCAACUACCCUGAGCCACCACCCUCAGCCUUGGUGUUUGAUCUACAUGUAAGCCCUGAAGAUGGAACACUGGUCCCCUUCACUGGCCAAUACCUGAGCAGCCACAUCAAAGGAACUCUGGGCACCUUUCAUCCUUCUAUCCAGACUGAACGGCUCUUGUAUGUGGUGGACCUGCUUCUGUCAGGGGGACAGCCAGUGUUGCUGGCUGGAGAGGCAGCAACAGGGAAGUCAGCCUUUGUGGAGGUGCUGGUAGAGCCACAUCACCCUUACAUAUACAGCCCCAUCCACCCUGCCUUCAGUUCUACCCACCUCCGUCUCCUGCUGAGCAGAGGAAUCCAGGGCCAAACACAAGCCAGCCCACAGCCUGGGCAUCACCAGGAUUCUAAAGCCUCCCUCCUCUUCUUGCUGGAGGAUCUGCACCUAGCCACUUCUGGUGAGGAGCUGGGAAGAGGGAAGGAAGGAGCUACUGUCAUCUCUUGAGACUAUAAAAUCCCUAGCAAUAUUCAUUGACUCUCAGAUAUAUGUCUAUAGAUCUAA